UUGGAGGGCAAGUCUGGUGCCAGCAGCCGCGGUAAUUCCAGCUCCAAUAGCGUAUAUUAAAGUUGUUGCAGUUAAAAAGCUCGUAGUUGAAUUUCGGGAUUCUACCGUUGGUCGGACUAACAAGUCUGUACUGGUGUGUAGAAUUUCUACCUUCUGGGGAACUAUCAUGUUAUUAAUUUAGCGUGGUGGGAAACCAGGACCUUUACCUUGAAAAAAUUAGAGUGUUCAAAGCAGGCUUACGUCUGAAUACAUUAGCAUGGAAUAAUAGAAUAGGACGGUGGUCCUGUUUUGUUGGUUUCUGAAUCACCGUAAUGAUUAAUAGGGAUAGUUGGGGGCAUUAGUAUUCAAUUGUCAGAGGUGAAAUUCUUGGAUUUAUUGAAGACUAACUUCUGCGAAAGCAUUUGCCAAGGAUGUUUUCAUUAAUCAAGAACGAAAGUUUGGGGAUCGAAGACGAUCAGAUACCGUCGUAGUCUUAACCAUAAACUAUGCCGACUAGGGAUCGGACGAUGUUAAAUUUUAUUGACUCGUUCGGCGCCUUACGGGAAAC
rnacentral:rRNA from 1 species